rnacentral:lncRNA from 1 species
AUGCAGAUUCCUAGGUUCAAUAUUCUAGGUAGCUAAUCUAAAACAAGCAUUAAAAAUAAGCAAUCAAUAAAUAGCACAACUUAGCAAUAUAUAGUUGGGCCUAAUCCCUCUAACCUAUUUGAACCCUGAAUCUAACAAGUAAACUACUCAGACAUAGCUAAGUAAUUCAUGACACAAAAUAUAAAUAAAAACUGCAUAGAAUAGAAUAGAAUAGAUGAAUCAAUGGAGUUCCAAUCACAAAUCUCUGUAUGUUUAUCUCUCCUAAAACUCUCUGCUGAAAAUAAGAAUACAAAGGUGGCCAAAAGCUCUCUUGCCUCCUAACACUUAGGCAAGUCUAUAUCUAUUAGGUUAAAAACUCGUCAGGGGUAAUCUUGUAAUUUGGUGAAGUCUUGGGUUUAAAGUCGGCUGGAACCAAGUCGUGCUUCCGCGUCUCGACAUCGAGCGAUGGUACAUGAUGUACAUCGAUAGAUCUUAAUAUUCAAUCGUCGAGGCUUUUCUUCUGUAUUGAUCGACGACACUGGAUGUGCAUCGAUCGAUUGUGUCUUCUUCGUAUCGACCUCUUAUGGUCAGCUCGGAUGAAAUCUCCUUUAAGCUCCUAAAUGCUACAUAAUCAUAAAUUUACUCUAAGAUGCUUCUGAACCGGAAAACAUACCUAAUAGGAUAGAAUAUAUAUAGUAUAUAUAUAGUAAAAUACUUAUAUACCAUGGGUGAAAAUUGGUCAAAUUCAUGGUAUAUCAACUCCCCCAGACUUAUCCUUUUGCUUGUCCUCAAGCAAAACAAACAGGCAGCCUCUCUGAAAGAGGUUUGAAAACAGCAAGGACAUAUAGAUAUCAAACA